UUAAAAUCAGUAUCAUUUCAGAACCUAGACAAAAAAAAAAAUCACGUUCUGACCAGAUGAUGAAUCAUAGAGAUGAUUAGAUUGGUGAUAAUUAGGGCGCAAAUCUGAAACCUUCAACGAUCUCUUCAAUCUAUUGAUUUCUUCAACAAUUUUAGGGCUUAUAAAAUCUUCAAUUUGUUCUGAAGCUAUAUUCAUCAAUUUCUCAGUGAUUUGCAGGCAUCAGCCGCAUUGGGAUUAGAGAUGGUCCUUCCAAAGACUCAUGACUUGGCUGAAAUGAUUUGGUUUGCUUACAGCAACACAAAAGCAAUCCUCUUUUCCCCUCUUUUCUUCUCGUUAUGGAUGCUGGAACAAUAGUUACUUCACAAAGCAAUCCUUCUCUUUUCGUCGUGAAACCUUUAAGCUGAUGGAAGGGGCGUGGCGGUGGCACCAUCGCCCCUUUAUCCCGUGCGUUUUAUUCCGUUAAAAGUACAUGCUACAUAAUGCUUCGAAUUCUUUUGGGUCUUUAGAUUUCUCUACUGGUAGUAAAGCUCCACUGAAUAGAAUAUGAGCAUAUCUUUGUUGGCCGCAACAUUUCUGGACAACACUUCAUCCACAUUGCCUCCAACCACAUGUUGAUCUAUGAUUAAAUGGACUUCUUGCCAUUUGGUGAAGAGAAUGAUGAUCAAGCUCUAGCGUUUAACAGUGAGGGUAGCAAUCAAUCUUGGAGAGUGAAACACAAAAGAAAUGACAUGUCAUUCAAGAUUCAUUAUCUUUAGAAGACGAAUCUUGUCAUCUACUUGAAAAGCUCGACACAAGUCACGAAGGUCAACAAUGCCCGAAUGUUAAAUGAGGCUUGGGAGAGAAGAGAGAGGGCUAGAAGGUUUGUAUCUUUCACAAGCCAAAUGCCUGGUUUGUUGUUGGUUUGGGCUCCAAAGCAGUCAAAGGCCAUGAAUGUUAAACCCGAGCCCAAAAGAAAGAAACAGAUGGGGGUUAGUUAUAGUGUUGUUUGUGAGACUCCAUUGAUCGGUGACAGGCCUUUCUAAGGCAUUAUUUCAAGAUGGCAGGUGAACAAAUACAAAUAAAAUGAUCACUAAUGUAGCCUGGCCUCAUAUUAUUAUUAGAUGAGACAAAACAAGCUGAUGGCGCUCAAAGUUAGUCAUACAUGACUAGCUGGCUAAAUAUACACAGAGUUAGUACUGUAUGAUCAUGUUGUUUGAAUCUUAAUUGUUUUUCAAAAGUUUGGAGCAUGUAUUCUGUUGAUUCAGAACAUUCAUCUAACGUUUAUAUGCCAUUCUGUUCUUU
rnacentral:lncRNA from 1 species